rnacentral:rRNA from 1 species
UACGGAGGGUGCAAACGUUGCUCGGAAUCAUUGGGCGUAAAGCGCACGGUGAGGCGGCGUGAUAAAGUUGGGGUGUGAAAGCCCCUGGGCUCAACCCAGGAAGUGCAUUCAAACUGUCUCGCUUGAAUCUCGGGAGGGGUCAGAGGAAUUCCCGGUGUAGGAGGUGGAAAUUCGAUAGAUAUGGGAGGAACACCAGUGGCGAAGG